AACGAACGCUGGCGGCAUGCCUAACACAUGCAAGUCGAACGAGACCUUCGGGUCUAGUUGCGCACGGGUGCGUAACGCGUGGGAACCUGCCCUUAGGUUCGGAAUAACUCCCCGAAAGGGGUGCUAAUACCGGAUAAUGUCUUCGGACCAAAGAUUUAUCGCCUUUGGAUGUGCCCGCGUUGGAUUAGCUAGUUGGUAGGGUAAAAGCCUACCAAGGCGACGAUCCAUAGCUGGUCUGAGAGGAUGAUCAGCCACACUGGGACUGAGACACGGCCCAGACUCCUACGGGAGGCAGCAGUGGGGAAUAUUGGACAAUGGGCGAAAGCAUGAUCCAGCAAUGCCGCGUGAGUGAUGAAGGCCUUAGGGUUGUAAAGCUCUUUUACCCGGGAUGAUAAUGACAGUACCGGGAGAAUAAGCCCCGGCUAACUCCGUG
rnacentral:rRNA from 1 species